rnacentral:rRNA from 1 species
AUUGAACGCUGGCGGCAUGCCUUACACAUGCAAGUCGAACGGCAGCACGGGGGCAACCCUGGUGGCGAGUGGCGAACGGGUGAGUAAUACAUCGGAAUGUACCCAGUAGCGGGGGAUAACUACUCGAAAGAGUUGCUAAUACCGCAUACGCCCUAUGGGGGAAAGAGGGGGAUCGCAAGACCUCUCACUAUUGGAGCAGCCGAUGUCAGAUUAGCUUGUUGGUGAGGUAAAAGCUCACCAAGGCGACGAUCUGUAACUGGUCUGAGAGGACGACCAGUCACACUGGGACUGAGACACGGCCCAGACUCCUACGGGAGGCAGCAGUGGGGAAUUUUGGACAAUGGGGGCAACCCUGAUCCAGCAAUGCCGCGUGAGUGAAGAAGGCCUUCGGGUUGUAAAGCUCUUUUGUCAGGGAAGAAACGGCGCUUGCUAAUACCAGGCGCUACUGACGGUACCUGAAGAAUAAGCACCGGCUAACUACGUGCCAGCCGCCGCCGUAAAAC